AUUGAACGCUGGCGGCAGGCUUAACACAUGCAAGUCGAGCGAGCGGCGGACGGGUGAGGAAUGUCUGGGAAACUGCCUGAUGGAGGGGGAUGACUGCUGGAAACGGUAGCUAAUACCGCAUACCAUCAGUUGUGCCCAGUUGGGAGUAGCUAGUUGGUGGGGUAAGGGCUCACCUGGGCGACGAUCCCUAGCUGGUCUGCGAGGAUGACCAGCCACACUGGAACGGGACCACGGUCAAGACUCCUCCGGGAGGCAGCGGUGGGGAAUAUUGCACAAUGGGCGCAAGCCUGAUGCAGCAAUGCCGCGUGUGGGAAGAGGGCCUUCGGGUUGUAAAGCACUUUCAGCGGGGAGGCGUUACUCGAACAAGAAGCACCGGCUAACUCCGUGCCAGCCGCCGCGGUAAUAC
rnacentral:rRNA from 1 species